rnacentral:tRNA from 1 species
UAGUCUGUGGCGCAAUGGACAGCGCAAUUGGACUUCUAGUUCUAGCUAAUCUCUGAAGAAGUGAUUCAAAGGUUGUGGGUUCGAGUCCCACCAGAGUCA